rnacentral:rRNA from 1 species
AUUGAACGCUGGCGGCAGGCCUAACACAUGCAAGUCGAGCGAGCGGCGGAGGGGUGAGUAAUGUGUGGGAAACUGUCCGCUGGAGGGGGAUAACAACUGGAAACGGUAGCUAAUACCGCACACCAUCAGAUGUGCACAGAUGGGAUUAGCGAGUAGGUGGGGUAUUGGCUCACCUAGGCGACGAUCCCUAGCUGGUCUGAGAGGAUGACCAGCCACACUGGGACUGAGACACGGUCCAGACUCCUACGGGAGGCAGCAGUGGGGAAUAUUGCACAAUGGGCGCAAGCCUGAUGCAGCCAUGCCGCGUGUAUGAAGAAGGCCUUCGGGUUGUAAAGCACUUUCAGCGGGGAGGCGUUACCCGCAGAAGAAGCACCGGCUAACUCCGUGCCAGCAGCCGCGGUAAUAC